rnacentral:tRNA from 1 species
GCAUCGGUGGUUCUGUGGUAGAAUGUUCGCCUGCUACGCGGGCGGCCUGGGUUCGAUUCUCGGCCGAUUCU